rnacentral:rRNA from 1 species
AGAGUUUGAUCCUGGCUCAGGACAAACGCUGGCGGAAUGUAUUAGGCAUGCAAGUCGCACGAACCUUCGGGUUAGUGGCGGACGGGUGAGUAACACGUGGGUAACCUGCCUCGUAGUGGGGAAUAACUCGCCGAAAGGCGAGCUAAUACCGCAUAACACCCUCGGUGAGAAUCCGAGUGGUAAAAGCUCCGGCGCUAUGAGAGGGGCCCGCGGCCGAUUAGCUUGUUGGUGGGGUAAUGGCCUACCAAGGCGACGAUCGGUAGCUGGUCUGAGAGGAUGGUCAGCCACACGGGGACUGAGAUACGGCCCCGACUCCUACGGGAGGCAGCAGCUAAGAAUCUUGCGCAAUGGGCGAAAGCCUGACGCAGCAAUUCCGCGUGGGGGACGAAGGCCCUCGGGUCGUAAACCCCUUUUGUGAGGGAAGAAGUUCUGACGGUACCUCACGAAUAAGACACGGCUAACUACGUGCCAGCAGCCACGGUAAUACGUAGGUGUCGAGCGUUGUCCGGAUUUAUUGGGCGUAAAGCGCCCGCAGGCGGCUUGGUAAGUUCGAGGUGAAAUCUCCCGGCUCAACUGGGAGGGUGCCUCGAAAACUAUCAGGCUUGAGGCAGGGAGAGGGAUGUGGAAUUCCCGGUGUAGUGGUGAAAUGCGUAGAUAUCGGGAGGAACACCAGUGGCGAAGGCGGCAUCCUGGCCCUGUCCUGACGCUCAGGGGCGAAAGCGUGGGGAGCAAACCGGAUUAGAUACCCGGGUAGUCCACGCCGUAAACGAUGAGUACUAGGUGUAGGGGGUAUCGACCCCCUCUGUGCCGAAGCUAACGCGAUAAGUACUCCGCCUGGGGACUACGGCCGCAAGGCUAAAACUCAAAGGAAUUGAUGG